rnacentral:miRNA from 1 species
UAGUACGACCCAUGUCGGCCCA